UUAAGUUGGCCCAAAAUUUCAUCCUCCGAAGAUUUGGGGUCAUUCUGCCUUAUGGCCUGGGGAAACUUUUCUUUAAAAGAUGUUUAAGAAAUCAAUAAACUCUCUUCACCUAUCCCCACCCUCCUGUAUGCCUUCAAGCCAUGAAAAAUGUUUCCCUUAAGUAUCCAGCAGAAAGGGUCUUUUUGUGCCAUUUCCAAUACAACCCGUUGAGGGUUUAAAAAAAAUCCUUUUGAAACAAAGUUUCUUCUCAGCAAGAGGAAAGAAGAUUCGUUCUUCUCUUGAGCUUCAAGCAAUUUGGGGCCAGGCUGGUCACUGACCGGAGGCUGACAGUGACAACGUCCCUUGGGGGUGCCCAGAGCAAACAUUGUGGGGGACCUGAGCCCUGAGUCAGGGCUGCCUUUGGCUGCUCUGUCCCCCGGUCAGACAGAUGGCACUUGGUCAACGGAAACCUCUUCAGGACAUCGCCGCUGCAGCUGGAGAGGAGAAAAGAUGACUCUCCUGACCACUCCUGCCUGAGUCCCCAAUGCUUGUCUCCAGCUCUGCUUCCAGGGCCCGGACCUGCUGAGAGCCCUCUUAGUGGAUUGCUUUAAGAUGCCCUCUCGUCAGGAUAAGGUCACUGAGAAGAGCCCUUGCCUGGUGUCCUUGAGCAGAAGCAGCCCUUUCCUUGACCGCCUUUCAGUGAGGCUCCUCUGACCUUCCUUUGAAUAAGGCCUUGACCUUGACCUGCAUCCUGUCGUUGGCCCACCUGGCCCAUCCCAGCCCAGCCCAGCUGGAGCAAGAACCCUGCUAGGGGACAUUUGGACACGCACAAGCACACACGGAGAACACGGAGUUGGAGAGCAGGGGAACAUCACCUACAAGCCCAGGACGUUGAGGAGCCCACAGGCCACCAGGCGCAUGAGAGGGGUAGGGAACAGACUCUUCCCCAGAGUCUCCAGAAAGAACCAACCAACCUUGAGCUCAGACUUCCGGCUUCCAGAACCGGGACAGAACGACUUUCCCUUGAAGCUGCCCUGCCUGGGGGGCCUUGUUUGUUACGGGGGCUCCAGAAAACCAGCACGCCCCCACCCUUGCAUCCUUGGCCUAGCACGCAGCACCUGCUCUGUGAGCCCUGCGCAGGCUCCGGCGAGUCCAGCACACUCCCGGGGAAGCCGGGACACACGGAGGCUGCGCAAGGGCUGAGUCCACUCGCAGGAUGAGGGCUCGGAGCUGAGCACGGUGCUCAGGGCGGGGGGCUGAGGUUGGGCAGACCAGGACUCCUGAGCGGGAGAGGGGGUGCUGGCUAAUCCACAACAGAGCUAGGGGGCGGUCCUGUCUGGGGCAGGAUUCUCUGGACCGCACGCUGCUGCCCUUCCACACUGGGCUCUCCCGGGAAGUCAUGGCGAGCGGCUCCCGGCCCGACUUCGCUGCUGGAAGAGGCAGCUUUCUGCACAUCAAGUCGUCCCUGGGCCGUUUUAAUGCACUUUCCCCCAGAACAACAGUGCACCCCUGGAUGUCACUCCUGAGGCAGACGUAAUUGGAUCGGGAAGAUGUUAUAUUGUGAAUUAAGUUGACUGAUGGGGAAAUGUCAGUGUUGUUAACAAUCUUCCUUCAGAUGGUAAUUUUGUAUCCAUAAAGACGAACAACAAAAGUUACAGAAGGCGUCAA